rnacentral:rRNA from 1 species
UACGGAGGGGGCUAGCGUUGUUCGGAAUUACUGGGCGUAAAGCGCACGUAGGCGGCUUUGCAAGACAGAGGUGAAAGCCCAGAGCUCAACUCUGGAAUUGCCUUUGAGACUGAGUGGCUUGAGUACGAGAGAGGUGAGUGGAAUUCCCAGUGUAGAGGUGAAAUUCGUAGAUAUUGGGAAGAACACCGGUGGCGAAGGCGGCUCACUGGCUCGUAACUGACGCUCAUGCACGACAGCGUGGGGAUCAAACAGG